rnacentral:lncRNA from 1 species
CCAAAUUCAACAUAUAUAUAGUAAUAAUGUCAUUAAAGUACAACCACAUUGUAAUCCAAAAUACAAAACAUCAUAAUAAAGACAAAUUCCAACACUUAUUACUAGAUUGUCAAAAGGCUAGCACCAAAAAUUUAUAAUGUCAAAAUAACUUUGUACAUUGUGUCAAAACUGUACAUAAAAAACUACAGAACUGGAAAACAAAAAUACAUUGUGUCAAACCUGUGUUAUAAUUAAUGAACUAAAUCUCAGUGCCUUCAAUUGCUCCAUAAUCGAUUCAAUUUGCUGAAAGCAUCAACAUCUGAAAGAUGUAGAUUGAAAAUGAAAAUAGACAUAAGAAGACAUUGCAAAUGAAAAACUGAGACAAACAAAGGGCAAUGGUUGAUGCAAAUUCAGAAAUCAGAAAUGAUACAUCGUAAAAGAGAAGGGAGAAAGAGUAAGAACUUACUGGUAAGUUACAUAAGCAAAAGCGAGAUUGUUACUCUUAUAUUCCUAUAAAACUAUGAUUCAUGAUUAUAAUAUUUGAAAUUAAAGAGUGUGCUAUAUCUAAUCCACUCCAAUGAGUAUCUUCCUUCACCACCUCAUUUUAGUACCUGAAAAGUGAAAAGUCAUGAGAAUAUCUCAAUAUUCCCAAAGGAACAUUAUUCAUUUGUUGUAACAUUGGAUAACUCCAAGCCUACUGUAAAACGCUAUGCAAUAACAUUCUAACUCAAGAGUUUUAGCUUGGUUACUAAAUAAAAAGUUUCUAGUUUCAUCUCCAAACAAAGCAAAUUUAAUUGAGUUACUAAAUAAUUAAUUGUUUUCUUCUAAACCAAGAUCAUUCUCUUUUUAAAAUAGCAUCAAAAUUUUGAAAAGAAGCAUAAUAGAUAUACUAUACAUGCUAACAUGCCUCGGCCUCUCAAUAAAACAUGGCUAGUUCAAACAUAUAUAUAGGUGAUAAUUGUCUU